rnacentral:rRNA from 1 species
AAAUAAAAUACCAGGCUCAGAAUGAACGCUGGCGGCGUGCUUAAACACAUGCAAAGUCGCACGAGAACUCUUUCUGCUUGCAGAAGAUAGUAAAGUGGCGCACGGGUGAGUAACGCGUGGGUAAUCUACCUCUGAAUUGGGGAUAACAUUGUGAAAGCGAUGCUAAUACCGAAUAAUAUCCCGAGAACUUAGGCUUUUGGGAUCAAAGGUGGCCUCUACAUGUAAGCUACUGUUUAGAGAUGAGCCCGCGUACCAUUAGCUUGUUGGUAGGGUAAUGGCCUACCAAGGCAACGAUGGUUAGCUGGUCUGAGAGGAUGAUCAGCCACACUGGAACUGACACACGGUCCAGACUCCUACGGGAGGCAGCAGUGAGGAAUUUUGCGCAAUGGGGGAAACCCUGACGCAGCAACGCCGCGUGAGUGAUGAAGGCUUUCGAGUCGUAAAGCUCUGUCAAGUGAGAGGGCCUAUCCCGCGUUAAUAUCGCGGGAUACUGACGGUAUCACUGAAGGAAGCACCGGCUAACUCCGUGCCAGCAGCCGCGGUAAUACGGAGGGUGCAAGCGUUAUUCGGAAUUAUUGGGCGUAAAGGGCGCGUAGGCGGUCUUUUAAGUCAGAUGUGAAAGCCCGGGGCUCAACCCCGGAAGUGCAUUUGAAACUAAGGGACUUGAGUAUGGGAGAGGGAAGUGGAAUUCCUGGUGUAGAGGUGAAAUUCGUAGAUAUCAGGAGGAACACCGGUGGCGAAGGCGACUUCCUGGACCAAUACUGACGCUGAGGCGCGAAGGCGUGGGGGCAAACAGGAUUAGAUACCCUGGUAGUCCACGCAGUAAACGUAACACUAGGUGUAGCGGGUAUUGACCCCUGCUGUGCCGCAGUUAACGCAUUAAGGUCCGCCGGGAGUAUAGAUG